rnacentral:tRNA from 1 species
ACCCAGCUAGCUCAGCCAUUAGAACAUGAGACUCUUAAUCUCAGAGUCAUGGGUUCGAGCCCCACACUGGGUG